rnacentral:rRNA from 1 species
UACGGGGGAGCAAGCGUUGUUCGGAUUUACUGGGCGUAAAGGGCGCGUAGGCGGCGCAACAAGUCACUUGUGAAAUCUCCGGGCUUAACUCGGAAAGGUCAAGUGAUACUGUUGUGCGUAGAGUGCGGAAGGGCAACUGGAAUUCGUCGGUGUAGCGGUGAAAUGCGUAGAUAAUCGAGAGGAACACCUGCGGCGAAGGCGGG